rnacentral:rRNA from 1 species
CCGCAAGGCGUGGCAUACGGCUCAGUAACACGUAGUCAACAUGCCCAAAGGACGGGGAUAACCUCGGGAAACUGAGGAUAAACCGCGAUAGGCCAAGGUUUCUGGAAUGAGCCAUGGCCAAAACCUAUAUGGCCUUUGGAUUGGACUGCGGCCGAUCAGGCUGUUGGUGAGGUAAUGGCCCACCAAACCUGUAACCGGUACGGGCUUUGAGAGAAGGAGCCCGGAGAUGGGCACUGAGACAAGGGCCCAGGCCCUAUGGGGCGCAGCAGGCGCGAAACCUCUGCAAUAGGCGAAAGCUUGACAGGGUUACUCUGAGUGAUGCCCGCUAAGGGUACCUUUUGGCACCUCUAAAAAUGGUGCAGAAUAAGGGGUGGGCAAGUCUGGUGUCAGCCGCCGCGGUAAUACCAGCACCCCGAGUUGUCGGGACGAUUAUUGGGCCUAAAGCAUCCGUAGCCUGUUCUGCAAGUCCUCCGUUAAGUCCACCUGCUUAACGGAUGGGCUGCGGGGGAUACUGCAGAGCUAGGAGGCGGGAGAGGCAAACGGUACUCAGUGGGUAGGGGUAAAAUCCUUUGAUCUA